CAGUAGCCGCGGUAAUACGAAGGGGGCUAGCGUUGUUCGGAAUUACUGGGCGUAAAGGGCGCGUAGGCGGCCAUUCAAGUUAGAUGUGAAAGCCCUGGGCUCAACCUAGGAAUUGCAUUUGAUACUGUUUGGCUUGAGUUCGGGAGAGGUGAGUGGAAUUCCCAGUGUAGAGGUGAAAUUCGUAGAUAUUGGGAAGAACACCAGUGGCGAAGGCGGCUCACUGGCUCAUACUGGACGCUGAGGUGCGAAAGCGUGGGGAGCAAACAGGAUUAGAUACCCGCGUAGUCCCUGUCUCUUAUAC
rnacentral:rRNA from 1 species